UUACGACCAUAUCACAUUGAAACACUGGAUGUCGUACGAUCAAUAAAGUUAAGCAACGUCGACACUGGUAAGUACAUAGAUGGGUGUCCGCUUGGGAAUACCAGGUGCUGUAAG